UACGUAGGGUGCAAGCGUUGUCCGGAAUUAUUGGGCGUAAAGAGCUCGUAGGCGGUUUGUCGCGUCGGCUGUGAAAACCUGGGCUCAACCCCGGGCCUGCAGCCGAUACGGGCAAACUAGAAUUCGGUAGGGGAGACUGGAAUUCCUGGUGUAGCGGUGAAAUGCGCAGAUAUCAGGAGGAACACCGGUGGCGAAGGCGGGUCUCUGGGCCGAUAUUGACGCUGAGGAGCGAAAGCGUGGGGAGCGAACAGG
rnacentral:rRNA from 1 species